AGAGUUGAUCCUGGCUUAGGACGAACGCUGGCGGCGUGCCUAACACAUGCAAGUCGAGCGGAGUUAACAAGAGGAAGUUUCGGAUGGAAUUUGUAAUUAGCGGCGGACGGGUGAGUAACGCGUGAGCGACCAACCUUGCACAGGGGGAUAACGGACCGAAAGGUUCACUAAUACCGCAUGAGACCACGGUGUUGCAUGACACAGAGGUCAAAGGAGCAAUCCGGUGCAAGACGGGCUCGCGUCCGAUUAGGUAGUUGGUGGGGUAAUGGCCCACCAAGCCUAUGAUCGGUAGCCGACCUGAGAGGGUGAUCGGCCACAUUGGAACUGAGAUACGGUCCAAACUCCUACGGGAGGCAGCAGUGGGGAAUAUUGGGCAAAUGGGGGAAACCCUGACCCAGCAACGCCGCGUGAAGGAAGAAGGUUUUCGGAUUGUAAACUUCUGUCCUUGGUGAAGAGAAGAAGACGGUAGCCAAGGAGGAAGCCCCGGCUAACUACGUGCCAGCCGCAGC
rnacentral:rRNA from 1 species